rnacentral:rRNA from 1 species
AGAGUUUGAUCCUGGCUCAGGACGAACGCUGGCGGCGUGCUUAACACAUGCAAGUCGAACGGGGCGAUUUGAAAGCUUGCUUUUGAUGAGCCUAGUGGCAAACGGGUGAGUAACGCGUAGGCAACCUGCCCUCAGGAUGGGGACAACGGCCCGAAAGGACCGCUAAUACCGAAUGACGUAUCGGGAUCGCAUGAUACUGAUACCAAAGGCGGAGCAAUCCGUCACCUGAGGAUGGGCCUGCGUCUGAUUAGGUAGUUGGUGAGGUAACGGCCCACCAAGCCGACGAUCAGUAGCCGGUCUGAGAGGAUGAACGGCCACAUUGGGACUGAGACACGGCCCAGACUCCUACGGGAGGCAGCAGUGGGGAAUCUUCCGCAAUGGGCGAAAGCCUGACGGAGCAACGCCGCGUGAGUGAAGAAGGUCUUCGGAUCGUAAAGCUCUGUUGUCGGGGACGAAGGGGCAGAUCAGGAAAUGGGUCUGCUUAGACGGUACCUGACGAGGAAGCCACGGCUAACUACGUGCCAGCAGCCGCGGUAAUACGUAUGUGGCAAGCGUUGUCCGGAAUCAUUGGGCGUAAAGGGAGCGCAGGUGGGACGGUAAGUCUUUCUUAAAAGUGCGGGGCUCACCCCCGUGAGGGGAAAGAAACUAUCGUUCUUGAGUGCAGGAGAGGAAAGCGGAAUUCCUAGUGUAGCGGUGAAAUGCGUAGAUAUUAGGAAGAACACCAGUGGCGAAGGCGGCUUUCUGGACUGUAACUGACACUG